CACUUGAUGCCUAAGCCACAUUCCCAGCCUUGCCAUUGCCAUUUUACCUGCACAUUAUCCUAACUGUAUGGACAACAGCACUGCGUACACACAGUUUAGUUUCCCAAAAUGUGUCAGGUUUGAUUUCAAAUUACAAUCCUAGAUGCUCAAAUUUUAUAUACUUUAAUGGUACCAUUGCUUUCUGUCAGGAUGAACUAGAAAUGAAAUAAAACCCAUUGAGAUAGAAAUCAUGAAUGACUCAGUAAAUUUUUUAAAGAAAGGUUAUUUUAUUGACUGAAACAUGGACACAUUCUGAAUAGACCAAUUGCCAAAUCUCAUAGCAGGAGUUCUGUAGACUCAUCCUCAAGAAAACGCUAUACAGUGCAUGUGUGAGUGUGUGUGAGUGUGUGUGUGUGUGUGUGAGUGUGUGUGUGUGUGUGUGCUCCUGAGGUUUGAAUUCAGAAUCUGGCACCUGCUAGGAAAGUGCUUAAACACUGAGCUACCCCUACGUCCUCAUUCCAGAUCUGAUUAAACUCUCCACUCUGGAAACUUCUUUCAUCUCAAUAGCAGGAUGAAUUCACCUCAUUAGGAAGAUGUAGGGCCGCCAUUCUGCACAACCUUCCUCACAUCCCCAGUGUUGAGUAGCUUAGGACUUCCUCAUCCCACGAGCGAGCACCGUGUUAUGCUCAGGCACCUCUGGCCCCUUCCGCUCACAUUUGGUGUGAUGCAGUGCAUCCUCGUACACGGCAGGGUCAAGGUGAAGGGCGCCCAACUCGGGGCCAUGUUGCACCUCCAUUCUCCACCGCUCUCCACUGUCUGGAGGCUGCCGUGCAGAGCCUUUGGUUUCAGAAGGCACAUUCACCUUCCCCAGAGUUUGCAUAGAAAUAAUCCUCACAAGAUGGCAAGCCCAGCCCUUCCAGGACCCUACCUGGGAAACCUCCGGGGGGCAUUUCAUUAGCGGGACUCCAUCAU